UACGGAGGGGGCUAGCGUUGUUCGGAAUUACUGGGCGUAAAGCGCGCGUAGGCGGCUUUGUAAGUUAGAGGUGAAAGCCCGGAGCUUAACUCCGGAACUGCCUUUAAGACUGCAUCGCUAGAAUUGUGGAGAGGUGAGUGGAAUUCCGAGUGUAGAGGUGAAAUUCGUAGAUAUUCGGAAGAACACCAGUGGCGAAGGCGACUCACUUGGACACAUAUUGACGCUGAGGUGCGAAAGCGUGGGGAGCAAACAGG
rnacentral:rRNA from 1 species